rnacentral:lncRNA from 1 species
GCAAUUAAAUUAUGAAAUGCGUGACUCAAGCGUUCACGGCUUCUCCCACAGACAAGACUAUCCAUCUCUCGCAUCUCUCCUGACCAUCAGACAUUCCCAUUUUCAUCUCUGCCCUUCCUGUGCUUGCCUUCUUCCCCGACAGAUGCGUCAUCUCUCUGCUCUUUUCCCCCCCGACACCGGUCUUCCUUUCUGAAUUUAAGCAUUUUUGCCGUGCCAUUUCUGCUCCCCUCACUUCACAUGUCUGCUCUCCUCCUCCUUCUUGACUUUCCCCAGGGCCCUGGAGUUGCUUUCUUUGGAGACAGUGUCUACUCGCUCUUUCUUUCCAGAGCUUUGGCCAGCUGGCCCCAGAAAUCCAUCAGUGGCCCAUCAGGGACCAGGCUAGCAGCUGUCACUCCCACCGUGGAAUUUAGUGCAUAAGAGAACUCAACUGAAGAAAUCAGAGAAGGAGGGAUUAUCUUCUGAGAAGCCCGGUUUCCAACUCCAGAGACAGUUGAAAAGACCGAAGUGGGGCCCUCCAUGUUGAGUCGUCAUCUGAACAAGUUGGAAUGGCUGUUAAGGACACUGGAUGUGUAAUUUCCUGCCGUAGCAAAUUGGAGGCUUCACACAGUCCUCUUGCUGUUGACCUGGUUAUAUUUUCCUGACUUGGUGCAGUCUUAAGAAGCAGUUGAAUUUGUCGAUUACGUUUGCUGGAGGGAGAAACUCAGGAUCAGUGAAGGUCAUUGGUAUUUCAUAGCUGCCCACUUGAUCUCUGAUCAAUCACAUAUAAUUCUCCCACUUACACAUGCAUUUUGCAGUUCUGUCAUGCAGGCAAUUCCAAUAGGAUAAAGUCCUUUUAAAAAUCAGAGGCAAAAAAACAAAGAGCACUGGGGCUGGCCUGGUGGUAUAGUGGUCAAGUUUGUGUGCUCUGCGUCGGCGGCCUGGGGUUCACGGUUUCAGAUCCCUGGCACAGACCUACACCACUCAUCAAAGCCAUGCUGUGGCAGCAACCCGCAUACAAAAUAGAGGAAGACUGGCAUAGAUGUUAGCUCAGGGCGAAUCUUACUUAUGCAAAAAGAGGAAGAUUGGCAACAGAUGUUAGCUCAGGGCCAAUUUUCCUCACCAAAAUAAAAAAAU